rnacentral:rRNA from 1 species
UAAGGCCCCUAAGCGUACGCUAAGUGGGAAAGGAUGUGGAGUCGCAGAGACAACCAGGAGGUUGGCUUAGAAGCAGCCACCCUUGAAAGAGUGCGUAAUAGCUCACUGGUCUAGUGAUUCCGCGCCGGCAAUGUAGCGGGGCACAGGCGUACCGCCGCACGCGUGCCAUUGCAGCACGACUCGCAACGGAUGCGCGGAUGGGUCGGGGGGCGACGCGUGCCGGGAG